AUUGAACGCUGGCGGCAUGCCUUACACAUGCAAGUCGAACGGCAGCACGGGAGCAAUCCUGGUGGCGAGUGGCGAACGGGUGAGUAAUGUAUCGGAACGUGCCCAGUCGUGGGGGAUAACGUAGCGAAAGCUACGCUAAUACCGCAUACGAUCUAUGGAUGAAAGCGGGGGAUCGCAAGACCUCGCGCGAUUGGAGCGGCCGAUAUCAGAUUAGGUAGUUGGUGGGGUAAAGGCCCACCAAGCCUGCGAUCUGUAGCUGGUCUGAGAGGACGACCAGCCACACUGGAACUGAGACACGGUCCAGACUCCUACGGGAGGCAGCAGUGGGGAAUUUUGGACAAUGGGCGCAAGCCUGAUCCAGCAAUGCCGCGUGCAGGAUGAAGGCCUUCGGGUUGUAAACUGCUUUUGUACGGAACGAAACGGCUUUUUCUAAUACAGAGAGCUAAUGACGGUACCGUAAGAAUAAGCACCGGCUAACUACGUGCCAGCCGCCGCUGUAACAC
rnacentral:rRNA from 1 species